CUUUAUUUACCAUAAGGUAAAGUAGGUUCCUCCUUUCUCCUAUAUAUUUUGACUGCGAUGGAAUAUAUUUCUUCAAAAAAUGCUCAAUUUUUAUUUUCUUCUUACGGUGACAGAAUCGCUAUAACAAUGUCUGACAGAGAAGUAAGAUGAAGAUGUCUUAGAUGUUGGACAAAGAAGUGUGGGUUUCUACAUUUUAAAGGGUUACUCAAAGCACAGUGACCACUUCUAUGCUUUUAAGUGGUACUGAUGGCUGGAGUCUGUAUCUGAAGUUUAAGUAUGAAACGUAGCGCAGACAGACUUUUAUACUUCUGCUGCCAGAGAUGUAACUCCACCACUAACUGUUCCAGACUGUCUAACAGAGCACCCCAUUGAAACCAAGUGUGAGGGCUUGCAAAGCCUGCAGCUUUUUAAAGCUGUUUUUUCCCCUUACAGACAAAAGAGAGAGGGAAAUAAAAACACAUGUUUUCUUUUGGAGUAUAUCUACUACAUUGUUAAAUGAACAUUGCAG